AGACACCCCCAUUCCAUGCUCAACCACAUUCACCAAUGGACAAGACCCCUGAAACGAUAUUGGAUCCUUUUCCAGAAGAUGUUAGGGUUUUGGUUAUAAGCAACUUUAAUCGAAGAGACAGCGGUCUCAUGAAGAAAGUCAAUGAACUCUCUGUCCUCUGCGACGUCAAUAUCAGCCUCUUCAUCUUCUCUGGCUGCAGCCGCCUGGCGGCACUUGUGCUGUUCCUGAUGGGACUUGGGUUGGAGCCACGGUACCCUCUCUCUCACUCUCUGUGUCAACAUCUUGGAUCCUCUUCCAGAAGAUGUUAGGGUUUGGUUAUACUCAACUUUUCUGGCCUUUCCUGAGUUGAUGCGAAACGAAGACAAGAAUAGCCGUCAGGCCUCCUUCUCCAAACGAUGCAGCGGUCUCAUGAAGAAAGCCAGCGAACUCUCUGUCCUCUGCGACGUCGAUAUCGGCCUCUUCAUCUUCUUCAGCCACGACUGCCUCCACGAGUUCUGCAGCGGCGAUAGGUCUGAAAAGCGAGACGUGUCUGUUGUGGGCACCAUCGCUUCACAACCCCAAUAGUCUCUAAUAUUAUACUCCUAGAACUAUGCUCGCUGGGCAAGAAGCGUACCCGUAUAACCGACAACAGUUUUUCGAGUUGUUAGUGCAGUCAUUAUGGCUAUAAGGAAAGCCGUUCCGCUCGGGCUUGCAACUUAUAUCUUCCAUGUGACGAAACAAAAGUCCGUAGUUUGAAGAAUCAGAGAUUGGCCUAGGUGAAAGAUAAAAAUGUUGUGUCAUUUUUAGGUCCUGACGAAUGCUGAAGAACAGAAUAUCUGUUGAAUCCUCCCCAAGUUCAUCACUCCUUUUUGAAAUAUCCUAACUUCUUAGCUGAGCUCAUUUAUCUUGGUUCCUCAAUGAAUGGUAUUCUUGAGGAAAUAGAAAAAAAAUUGCAUUCCCAGUUGUUUCGUGAUGAACUAAAACACUAGGGGUUCCUAUUAAGUGGUUGAAGAAGUUGGCACAGUGAGAUGGGAAGCAUUUGAUGGAGAUCUUUAAAGAGGGAAAAACAUAAUAUUAGGCUAAGGCUGGAAAUUAGAAGCAAAUUAAUUUGGAUGGGUUUGGAAAAUAAAUGGAUAGUCAUCAAAACAUCUAUUUUAUUUUACAUGCAAAAAUAAGUGCAUGCACAAGAUAAUUUUGUUUCCAUAUCAUUUUCCUUUCCUGACAUUUGAAGAUCCAUACUUGUGGUUUUGAUAUAUUAGCAUUAGUAAAAGCAGAAUCCUUGGCUAGGGGGCAAGUUAAUUUGUUGAGUUAGGAAAAUGGAUAAAUUUUCAUUCAGACAUCUAUUUUCAUUUACAUACGUAAAAUAAGUGCACGCACAAGUGGUUUCAUUUCAGUAUCAUUUUCCUUUUGUUUGAUCUAUUCCUGUCCAUAGAUAUACACAUUUGUUUUUUUGAAAGGAGAUAUAAGUGUUCGUGUGUGAAUAUGUGUUAGGCUUGUAUGAUGGGUAGGGUGUUUGUGUGUGAAUAUUUUCUGUCUUGAAACCUUCUAUUGUGUUAUGGCAUUGGCAUGAAGAAUGAUUACCCAAAUUUUAUUUUAGCUUUUGAACAUAUUUAUCUCCUGAAGGCCAUUUAUGGACAAUGGUUAUACUUGAAAAUUAUUGACUGGUACUUUGUUGGAAUUCAAGAUAAUGU